AUAGUGCUUCUCACAACCUAUUUAUGUCAAAGGUUGCUGAAGUGAAUAAUGCACAUCUCAAAUAAUUUCUAAUUACAGAUUGUUUCAUGGAAAAAGGACUAAAUCACAUUCUUUGUUGAACAUUCUGAUUGCUGCUGGGACAAUCCUGAGAAACGAGUACAGUACAUACAGAUUUAUUUAUUUCACCUUUAUUUAACCAGGUAGGCUAGUUGAGAACACCUUUAUUUAACCAGGUAGGCUAGUUGAGAACACCUUUAUUUAACCAGGUAGGCUAGUUGAGAACAAGGUCUCAUUUACAACUGCGACCUGGCCAAGAUAAAGCAUAGCAAUUCGACCCAAUACAACAACACAGAGUUACACAUAGGCUUGCCCUUUACUAGUUAGUCAACAUGAUAUCAUACAGCGCUUGAAUAAGAGUUGGGUCGUUAUUCAUUAGUGCACACUGUAGCAAAACGUUUUGCAACAGAUAAUCCAAAACUAAGCGUUUCUUACUGGACAAGUUCAGCUAUUCCUUCCCUGUUUCAGUCUGUUUUCUUAUGUUUGGCGUCUAGUGAAUUACCAACCUGCGAUGGGAGUUGCUGUGGACGAGACGAAUCUAGGUGGGGUAAUGUGCUACAAGGUACAGGCAGUUCCCUGGGUCUCAGAGAGUGGCCUCAGUGUUCUGCUGUCUGCUCAGCCUCUCUAGGAAGGAGAGGGGGAGCAGACUGGAAAAGAUGCCAACGAUACCAGAGAAGAUGCCAACGAUACCAGAGAAGACCAAAAACCUUCUGCUGCUUCAAGGACAAACACAAGUUUUUAGAUGGAUUUUGAUGCACAGGGUACUACUAUCAACAAAACAAAACCAUUUAAAAUGAAUCUUCCACUUUUCAUUUUGUCCAUCCAUUAAACACAUUUGUGAAUGAUUUCACUAAUCCAAAUCAA